rnacentral:rRNA from 1 species
GCGGACCAAAGAAGAGCUUGCUCUUCGGCGGUUAGCGGCGGACGGGUGAGUAACACGUAGGCAACCUGCCUGUACGACUGGGAUAACUCCGGGAAACCGGAGCUAAUACCGGAUACGUUUUUCAGACCGCAUGGUCUGAAAGAGAAAGACCUUUGGUCACGUACAGAUGGGCCUGCGGCGCAUUAGCUAGUUGGUGGGGUAACGGCCUACCAAGGCGACGAUGCGUAGCCGACCUGAGAGGGUGAUCGGCCACACUGGGACUGAGACACGGCCCAGACUCCUACGGGAGGCAGCAGUAGGGAAUCUUCCGCAAUGGACGAAAGUCUGACGGAGCAACGCCGCGUGAACGAUGAAGGUUUUCGGAUCGUAAAGUUCUGUUGUUAGGGAAGAACCGCCGGGAUGACCUCCCGGUCUGACGGUACCUAACGAGAAAGCCCCGGCUAACUACGUGCCAGCAGCCGCGGUAAUACGUAGGGGGCAAGCGUUGUCCGGAAUUAUUGGGCGUAAAGCGCGCGCAGGCGGCUUCUUAAGUCAGGUGUGAAAGCCCACGGCUCAACCGUGGAGGGCCACUUGAAACUGGGAGGCUUGAGUGCAGGAGAGGAGAGCGGAAUUCCACGUGUAGCGGUGAAAUGCGUAGAGAUGUGGAGGAACACCCGUGGCGAAGGCGGCUCUCUGGCCUGUAACUGACGCUGAGGCGCGAAAGCGUGGGGAGCGAACAGGAUUAGAUACCCUGGUAGUCCACGCCGUAAACGUUGAGUGCUAGGUGUUGGGGACU